rnacentral:rRNA from 1 species
CUCCUACGGGAGGCAGCAGUGAGGAAUAUUGGUCAAUGGGCGAGAGCCUGAACCAGCCAAGUAGCGUGCAGGAAGACGGCCCUAUGGGUUGUAAACUGCUUUUAUAAGGGAAUAAAGUGAGCCUCGUGAGGCUUUUUGCAUGUACCUUAUGAAUAAGGACCGGCUAAUUCCGUGCCAGCAGCCGCGGUAAUACGGAAGGUCCGGGCGUUAUCCGGAUUUAUUGGGUUUAAAGGGAGCGUAGGCCGGAGAUUAAGCGUGUUGUGAAAUGUAGAUGCUCAACAUCUGAACUGCAGCGCGAACUGGUUUCCUUGAGUACGCACAAAGUGGGCGGAAUUCGUGGUGUAGCGGUGAAAUGCUUAGAUAUCACGAAGAACUCCGAUUGCGAAGGCAGCUCACUGGAGCGCAACUGACGCUGAAGCUCGAAAGUGCGGGUAUCGAACAGGAUUAGAUACCCUGGUAGUCCGCACGGUAAACGAUGGAUGCCCGCUGUUGGUCUGAAUAGGUCAGCGGCCAAGCGAAAGCAUUAAGCAUCCCACCUGGGGAGUACGCCGGCAACGGUGAAACUCAAAGGAAUUGACGGGGGCCCGCACAAGCGGAGGAACAUGUGGUUUAAUUCGAUGAUACGCGAGGAACCUUACCCGGGCUUGAAUUGCAGAGGAAGGAUUUGGAGACAAUGACGCCCUUCGGGGCCUCUGUGAAGGUGCUGCAUGGUUGUCGUCAGCUCGUGCCGUGAGGUGUCGGCUUAAGUGCCAUAACGAGCGCAACCCCUCUCCUUAGUUGCCAUCAGGUCAUGCUGGGCACUCUGGGGACACUGCCACCGUAAGGUGUGAGGAAGGUGGGGAUGACGUCAAAUCAGCACGGCCCUUACGUCCGGGGCUACACACGUGUUACAAUGGCAGGUACAGAGAGACGGUCCCUUGCAAAAUGGAUCAAAUCCUUAAAGCCUGUCUCAGUUCGGACUGGGGUCUGCAACCCGACCCCACGAAGCUGGAUUCGCUAGUAAUCGCGCAUCAGCCAUGGCGCGGUGAAUACGUUCCCGGGCCUUGUACACACCGC